UUUAGGUGUGGUAAAAAGA
rnacentral:siRNA from 1 species